ACAAAAAAACAGUGUGGAAAAUAAAACAAGUAGACUUGCUUUCUCCUUCUAUUCAUCCACUGGUGUACAAAUACUCUUCAGGCCAGGGGCCCACUGCCUGUUUUUGUUUAGCCCACGAAAAAUCUUAGGAGUUGGCUUUACAUUUUUAAAUGAUCAACAAAAAAUUCCUCAGAAAGAAGUAUUUCAUGACCCGGACAUUAUGGGAAGUCUAUAUAUCAAGUUUUAUUGGAACACAGUCACACUCUUGUUUACAUAACACUAAAACAGCAAAGUUGACUAGCGUGACACUGCCUGUCCCCCAAAGCCUUAAAAUACGAUCUUUUUUUUAAAAAAACAAAAAAAAAAACCAAAAACCCUUGUGGACGUCCCUCCUGACUCACUGAAAACCUACACAGUGAACGUAGUAUAUGAAGAGUUAAAUGGCAGAAAAAAAGAGAAAAGGAGACACAGGCAAAACUGAAGUGUGUGUUCACGCUCUAUCCUACCAAGUCACAGCAAACAGGGCCCGCGCUGCAGAGCAACAGGGAAGAGAGCCAAGCGGUCAGAUGUCACCUCAUUCCCACACUGCUCGGAACACACUUACUCGACCUGAAAACCUUCCAGACCCGAAGAUCCGUUAACAUACGCUUUCUCCAACUGUACGCAGUGGAGGCAGACGGCACACGAGGCCGAGGUGUUCCCAAGCAACACACACAUUACAUGCUUCCGACCUACGGAUGCCCCUCGGAAGCUGCUGGUCGUAGAGCCUGGGACAGUCAGCUGGGAGGCCACCCUGCUGUCGAGACAAGAUACAACGAGGACACAGCCAGCCGCACGGGAGGGCAGAGUGUGGGCGAGCGGCAAGCUGUCUUCCAUGACGGUCGUCACUACUGUGUUCACACGGAAGACCGAGACGGGCAUUUGAAUUCAAGGAUGGGCAAGAGCAGCAUCGGUCUGAAUAAUGCCUGCUCUACAAGCAGCCGCCCAGGCAUUAGUCACAAAUAUUAUCUGUAAAAGGGAGCGGGCUAGAAGAGUCCGCACCUCCCUACCCCUGUACUCCAAUAAAAUGAAGCUUGUUUAUCACGGCUCAUACACUUGAAAUAGUCUGGGAGGGUACAGUGUGCUGUUUACCUGCUGGGGUAACUAAGGAAAAACACCAUUUAGACCUCUGUGAAGAGCAGAGACGGGGACUGUCACGUCUAGACAAAGAUGAUGGAUUUUCUGAGGGGAAAUAUGAUUUAGUCCAGUAACGUGGCUCAGGUCAUGAUCUCGGUCAGUGAGUUCAAGCCCCACGUCGGGAUCUGUGCGGACACCUCAGAGCCCGGGGCCUGCUUCAGAUUCUGGGUCUCCCUCUCUCUCUGCCCCUCCACCACUCGUGCUCUUUCUUUCUCUCUCUCUCUCAAAAAAUAAAUAAACAUUACGAAAAAAUUAAUUAACCAGUAGGGACUCUAAGGUUUAGAGCACGGUUUCUCUCAACAAGUUUGUUCCCUCGUUUUAAGUUAAUAGCUUUAAACAAAAACAGAAAGAAGCUCAAGACCCUGAAGAAAAACAUUUCUGAACACUCACUGAAUAUUAAACGUCGAAUUACCAGUGAUGCAGCAAAUCCGCUACUGGGCACAUGAAAACACACAUCCACACAAACUCGUACACAAAUGUUCCCGGCAGUAUCAUCCACGACAGCCGAGGAGUGGAGACAAGCACAAGAUGUGGAACAUCCAUAGGACGGAGUGGGAGUUGGCAAUGAGAAGAAACAAAAUACUAAUCGAUGUGACAACACGGUUCAACCUUGAAACAGGAAGCUGAGUCAGAGAAGCCAGUUGUCAAAGAGCUCAGCGUUCCAUGUUAUUCCACGUACGUGAGGUUCUAGAAUGGGCAGACGCACAGCAACAGGCGGGAGAUGAGGGACCCCGGGAGGGUAGGGUGGGGCGGGAUGGGCUGGUGGUGCUGGGCCGCUACCGCGGACCGUGGUCACCGCUGCACAGCUCUGAAACAUACUGAAAACGACGAAGCCGUGUACCUGUGCGGGUGGAUUUUAUGGUACGGGAAUUAUAGCUCAAUGAAGCUGCUAUGAAAAAAACUACUGAACUCAUUUAUUUUUUUGGUCGCUAAAAAUGACCUGCUACACAUUUUAGACAGCUAGUAGAGAACUGGAAGUUAAAAUCUCAUUUUUGCUCUCAGUUUUCUGUACCAAGAAAGAAGAAUCAGGUUUAAGAAGGGUUACUAGAGCCCGUUCUGUGGGAAUUCUCAUUUUGUGACAUGUUCAACGUGAUGACAAGCCGAAGUCCUGUGCUCAGGGAAAAUCCUGUUGGUUACCAUCGCCAAGGGACCCACGGAGAAGGGCCCACUCCCCACAGCUACGCGGUGCGGCGCCCACGGUCUACGAAAGCUGAACUGCAGCAACACACCCACAUUUAUACGUGAUGGAACAAGAGAAAAGGGGGAAAUACCGUUGUUUAAAAAAAUACAAGCGUUGCCCAAACAAACAAAAGGCUAUAAAUCAGACACAACAGACCAAGCUAAACACAUUUUGUGCUUACACAGACUUAAUGCCACUUACCGC